UUCGAAAAUUUCUGGUUGAAUGGAAAGCGCCCACAACUUCACAAAAUAGAUAAGAGGGCUUCACAGUAUGGAUGCCCGCCUUCAGUUGUCGUUAUUUCUGGUGUUGUUAUUGUUUUUCUUUUUCUUGUUUUUUGAUGUUUUGUACCACUGUUGUAAAUAACCAAAAGCAGUUUUCUUCAUACCUAUUUACCUAGCAUCGUUGGAAGUGAAACAAAAGAAGACAUCCCGAAAGAUGAAACCAUAAACGUGUUCUCAGUAGCAUCUGGUCAUCUUUAUGAACGUUUCUUGAGGAUUAUGAUGUUGACUGUCAUGAAGAACAC